rnacentral:rRNA from 1 species
AUACCAAUACUUUAAAUUUAUAUAGGUGUAGUAUAAAAUAAAGUAAUAAUAUUAAGGUUAGGAUCAAUAAGGAUAAUAAUUGUAAGUAAAAUUUAAUUGUUAUAAUUGAUUAUAUGAUCCUAAUAGUUAGAAUCUUUGAAAAUAAGAAGAAAAACUAGGAUUAGAGACCCUACUAUUCUUUAUUUUAAAAAUUUAUUUACUUGAGGAGUAAGAGUGAAUAGAAUAUAAAUUAUCUAUACUUGAAACUUAAAAGGCUUGGCGGUGUUAUAUAUCCUUCCAGGGGAGCUUGCUUAUUAAUUUGAUAAUCCUCAAUUUAUACUUACUUUUUUUAGAUAAACAGUUUGUGUAUUGCUGUCGUCAGUUUAUUUUGUAAAAAGAUUAGAAAAAACUUCAUAAUGAUUAGAUUAUG